CAGUUCGGCCAUCCUACGGCGGAAACUCCUUAACUCGUUCCGAAUUAAGAAGAGAAGCGCCGUCAGGCCCCGCCAGUACUGCGAUCGGAGACGUCGUGGGAACACGGGGUGCCGAACCUU
rfam:Giardia lamblia ATCC 50803 SC_577 genomic scaffold, whole genome shotgun sequence.